rnacentral:rRNA from 1 species
CGGAGGAUCCAAGCGUUGUCCGGAUUCAUUGGGUUUAAAGGGUGCGUAGGCGGAGAAUUAAGUCAGUGGUGAAAGCUUACAGCUUAACUGUAAAAAUGCCAUUGAAACUGAUUUUCUUGAGUUCGAUUGAGGUAGAUGGAAUGUAUCAUGUAGCGGUGAAAUGCUUAGAUAUGAUACAGAACACCAAUUGCGAAGGCAGUCUACUAAGUCGAUACUGACGCUGAGGCACGAAAGCAUGGGGAGCAAACAGGAUUAGAUACCCUGGUAGUCCAUGCCCUAAACGUUGAUUACUCGUUGUUGGCGAUACACUGUCAGCGACUAAGCGAAAGCGUUAAGUAAUCCACCUGGGGAUACGAUCGCAAGGUUG